GCCCCCAUUGUCUAGCGGCCUAGGACUCCGCCCUUUCACGGCGGCAGCACCGGUUCGAAUCCGGUUGGGGGUACCA
rnacentral:tRNA from 1 species